rnacentral:rRNA from 1 species
AGGAGGCAGCAGUGGGGAAUAUUGGUCAAUGGAGGCAACUCUGAACCAGCCAUGCCGCGUGCAGGAUGACGGCCCUAUGGGUUGUAAACUGCUUUUGUACCAGAGAAAACCCCAGUACGUGUACUGGGUUGAUAGUAUGGUAAGAAUAAGCAUCGGCUAACUUCGUGCCAGCAGCCGCGGUAAGACGAAGGAUGCAAGCGUUAUCCGGAUUCAUUGGGUUUAAAGGGUGCGUAGGCGGACUUGUAAGUCAGUGGUGAAAUCUCUCAGCUUAACUGAGAAACUGCCAUUGAUACUGCAGGUCUAGAGUAUAGAUGACGUUGGCGGAAUAUGACAUGUAGUGGUGAAAUACUUAGAUAUGUCAUAGAACACCGAUUGCGAAGGCAGCUAACGAAACUAUAACUGACGCUGAGGCACGAAAGUGCGGGGAUCAAACAGGAUUAGAAACCCUGGUAGUCC